rnacentral:rRNA from 1 species
UACGUAGGGGGGCUAGCGUUGUCCGGAAUCAUUGGGCGUAAAGCGCGUGUAGGCGGUCCGGUAAGUCCGCCGUGAAAGUCGGGGGGCUCAACCCUCGGAUGCCGGUGGAUACUGUCGGGCUUGAGUACGGAAGAGGCGAGUGGAAUUCCUGGUGUAGCGGUGAAAUGCGCAGAUAUCAGGAGGAACACCAAUGGCGAAGGCAGCUCGCUGGGACGGUACUGACGCUGAGACGCGAAAGCGUGGGGAGCAAACAGG